AGUGAACGCUGGCGGUAGGCCUAACACAUGCAAGUCGAACGGCAGCACAGUAAGAGCUUGCUCUUACGGGUGGCGAGUGGCGGACGGGUGAGGAAUACAUCGGAAUCUACUUUUUCGUGGGGGAUAACGUAGGGAAACUUACGCUAAUACCGCAUACGACCUACGGGUGAAAGCAGGGGAUCUUCGGACCUUGCGCGAUUGAAUGAGCCGAUGUCGGAUUAGCUAGUUGGCGGGUAAAGGCCCACCAAGGCGACGAUCCGUAGCUGGUCUGAGAGGAUGAUCAGCCACACUGGAACUGAGACACGGUCCAGGCUCCUACGGGAGGCAGCAGUGGGGAAUAUUGGACAAUGGGCGCAAGCCUGAUCCAGCCAUACCGCGUGGGUGAAGAAGGCCUUCGGGUUGUAAAGCCCUUUUGUUGGGAAAGAAAAGCAGCAGGUUAAUACCCCGCUGUUCUGACGGUACCCAAAGAAUAAGCACCGGCUAACUUCGUG
rnacentral:rRNA from 1 species